UACGUAGAAACCAAGCGUUGUUCGGAUUUACUGGGCGUAAAGGGCGCGUAGGCGGCGUGUUAAGUCAGCUGUGAAAUCUCCGAGCUUAACUCGGAACGGUCAGCUGAUACUGAUGUGCUAGAGUGCAGAAGGGGCAAUCGGAAUUCUUGGUGUAGCGGUGAAAUGCGUAGAUAUCAAGAGGAACACCUGAGGUGAAGACGGGUUGCUGGGCUGACACUGACGCUGAUGCGCGAAAGCCAGGGGAGCAAACGGG
rnacentral:rRNA from 1 species